GAUCCUGGCUCAGGAUGAACGCUAGCGGCAGGCUUAACACAUGCAAGUCGGGGGGGCAGCGCGGGGCGGCAACGUCCUGGCGGCGACCGGCGGAAGGGUGCGUAACGCGUGAGCGACAUGCCCGUUGCCCCGGGGACAACCCGGGUGGAAACGCCGACUAAUCCCCGAUGGGACGGAGGCCCUCAUGGGUACUCUGUUGAAAGUUACGGCGGCGACGGAUUGGCUCGCGUCCGAUUAGCUAGUUGGCGGGUAACGCCACCAGG
rnacentral:rRNA from 1 species